rfam:Dipodomys ordii contig_6170, whole genome shotgun sequence.
GGUGGCUCAGUGGUAAAGUGCUUGCCUUGCAUGCAGGAGGACCUGGGUUCAAGUCCUCAGUACCA